AUUGAACGCUGGCGGCAUGCUUUACACAUGCAAGUCGAACGGUAACAGGCCGCAAGGUGCUGACGAGUGGCGAACGGGUGAGUAAUGCAUCGGAACGUGCCCAGUCGUGGGGGAUAACGCAGCGAAAGCUGCGCUAAUACCGCAUACGAUCUAUGGAUGAAAGCGGGGGACCGUAAGGCCUCGUGCGAUUGGAGCGGCCGGUGUCAGAUUAGGUAGUUGGUGGGGUAAAGGCUCACCAAGCCAACGAUCUGUAGCUGGUCUGAGAGGACGACCAGCCACACUGGGACUGAGACACGGCCCAGACUCCUACGGGAGGCAGCAGUGGGGAAUUUUGGACAAUGGGCGCAAGCCUGAUCCAGCAAUGCCGCGUGCAGGAAGAAGGCCUUCGGGUUGUAAACUGCUUUUGUACGGAACGAAACGGUCCUGGUUAAUACCUGGGGCUAAUGACGGUACCGUAAGAACAAGCACCGGCUAACUACGUGCCAGCAGCCGCCGUAAAAC
rnacentral:rRNA from 1 species